rnacentral:lncRNA from 1 species
AGUAAGCUUCAAAACACUGGACCUGGGCAGAUAUCAACCCUCUAAGAGUUGGGGAAGAGCUACAAGGUCACUGAGGUAAUGCAAAAGUUCCUGCCCUCAGCAAUGACGGGGAAUGGAGAAUGGCUAGAAGAUGGAGUGUCUUGAAAGGUUUAUGCCCUUAGAGGACAAUACAAGGCAGAAGACUAGAGUAACUGUCCACUGAGAGGCUCAACCUAGCAGCCAAUGGGAAGAGAUUCAGAGACCCAUAAUUAUACAUUGGAUGGAGAUCAAGGACUGUUAUGGAAGAGUUGGGGAAGGACUGAAGACCCUGAAGGGAAUAGGAACUUCAUGGGAAGAUCAACAGUGAUUAACCUAGACACUUGGGUGGUCUCAGAGACUGAGUCCUGAACCAAAGAGUAUACACAGGAUGGACAAAGGCCCCUGGAACAUAUGUAGAAGAUGUUCAGCUCAGUCUACAUGUAGAUUCCCCAACAACUGGAGUGUAUGCUAUCCCUAUAGCUGUAGUGUGACUGUGGAAUCUGUUCCUUAACAGGGAUUCUUUGUCUGGCCUCAGCAGGAAAAGAUAAGGUUAAUUCUCUAAGGACUUGAAAUGCUGGGCAGAGGGGAUACUCAAGAGGGCUAAGCCUCUCCGAGGAGAAGGGGAGGGGGAUGCUGAGGAACUCAGUGAGAAGCUCAGCAAGGGGAAGUGUUUGGGAUGGAAACAAGCAAACAAAUAAAUAAAAGUGAAGAAUCAGAGAAGACCAUUGCCAACUA